rnacentral:rRNA from 1 species
GACGAACGCUGGCGGCGUGCUUAACACAUGCAAGUCGAACGGAAAGGCCCCUUUGGGGGUACUCGAGUGGCGACCGGGUGAGUAACACGUGAGUAACCUGCCCUUGACUUCGGGAUAACUUCAGGAAACUGGGGCUAAUACCGGAUAGGAAUCCUUGCUGCAUGGUGGGGGUUGGAAAGCUUCGGCGGGUUUGGAUGGACUCGCGGCUUAUCAGCUUGUUGGUGGGGUAGUGGCUUACCAAGGCUUUGACGGGUAGCCGGCCUGAGAGGGCGACCGGCCACAUUGGGGCUGAGAUACGGCCCAGACUCCUACGGGAGGCAGCAGUGGGGAAUAUUGCACAAUGGGCGGAAGCCUGAUGCAGCAACGCCGCGUGCGGGAUAACGGCCUUCGGGUUGUAAACCGCUUUCAGCAGGGGCGAAGCUUGUGGUGACGGUACCUGCAGAAGAAGCACCGGCUAACUACGUG